AUUGAACGCUGGCGGCAGGCUUAACACAUGCAAGUCGAACGAGUGGCGGACGGGUGAGUAAUGCUUGGGAAUCUAGCUUAUGGAGGGGGAUAACUACGGGAAACUGUAGCUAAUACCGCGUACCAUAGGAGGAGCCCAAGUGGGAUUAGGUAGUUGGUGAGGUAAAGGCUCACCAAGCCGACGAUCUCUAGCUGGUCUGAGAGGAUGAUCAGCCACCCUGGGACUGGGACACGGCCCAGACUCCUACGGGAGGCAGCAGUGGGGAAUUUUGGGCAAUGGGGGCAACCCGGAUGCAGCCAUGCCGCGUGUCUGAAGAAGGCCUUAGGGUUUUAAAGUACUUUCAGCGGGGAGGCGUUACCCGCAGAAGAAGCACCGGCUAACUCCGUGCCAGCAGCCGCGGUAAUUC
rnacentral:rRNA from 1 species